rnacentral:rRNA from 1 species
AUUGAACGCUGGCGGCAUGCCUUACACAUGCAAGUCGAACGGCAGCACGGGAGCUUGUUCCUGGUGGCGAGUGGCGAACGGGUGAGUAAUGCAUCGGAACGUGCCCUGAAGUGGGGGAUAACGUAGCGAAAGUUACGCUAAUACCGCAUAUUCUGUGAGCAGGAAAGCAGGGGAUCUUCGGACCUUGCGCUUUUGGAGCGGCCGAUGUCGGAUUAGCUAGUUGGUGGGGUAAAGGCCCACCAAGGCGACGAUCCGUAGCGGGUCUGAGAGGAUGAUCCGCCACACUGGAACUGAGACACGGUCCAGACUCCUACGGGAGGCAGCAGUGGGGAAUUUUGGACAAUGGGCGCAAGCCUGAUCCAGCCAUGCCGCGUGAGUGAAGAAGG